ACGUUUAUGAAUUUAGCCUUGCACUGGGCAACUGGUUUCCUAGAACUGGUUUCGUAUCUCAUAUAGUAAAAAUAAAUUCUUCGCUCAGUAGGAUCUCCCUAGUAAACCUUCAAAAAAGAUACGAGAUUUAAUAAUAAUAUUAAAUAAUAAUACGAUUUUCCAUAUACUGUAACCUCAAGAUCGUGACAGCUGGCAGAUGGAAAGAAGCAAAAUAGAUCCGUGUGCACGAAACGAACGUAUUGGUGACUUAUGGUUUCCUUCUCCAAUCUUUAGAUUUUUUUUUCAAUAUUAGAUGUA